UUUAUGGAGAGUUUGAUCCUGGCUCAGGAUGAACGCUGGCGGCGUGCCUAAUACAUGCAAGUCGAGCGAACGGACGAGAAGCUUGCUUCUCUGAUGUUAGCGGCGGACGGGUGAGUAACACGUGGAUAACCUACCUAUAAGACUGGGAUAACUUCGGGAAACCGGAGCUAAUACCGGAUGAUAUUUUGAACCGCAUGGUUCAAAAGUGAAAGACGGUCUUGCUGUCACUUAUAGAUGGAUCCGCGCUGCAUUAGCUAGUUGGUAAGGUAACGGCUUACCAAGGCAACGAUGCAUAGCCGACCUGAGAGGGUGAUCGGCCACACUGGAACUGAGACACGGUCCAGACUCCUACGGGAGGCAGCAGUAGGGAAUCUUCCGCAAUGGGCGAAAGCCUGACGGAGCAACGCCGCGUGAGUGAUGAAGGUCUUCGGAUCGUAAAACUCUGUUAUUAGGGAAGAACAUAUGUGUAAGUAACUGUGCACAUCUUGACGGUACCUAAUCAGAAAGCCACGGCUAACUACGUGCCAGCAGCCGCGGUAAUACGUAGGUGGCAAGCGUUAUCCGGAAUUAUUGGGCGUAAAGCGCGCGUAGGCGGUUUUUUAAGUCUGAUGUGAAAGCCCACGGCUCAACCGUGGAGGGUCAUUGGAAACUGGAAAACUUGAGUGCAGAAGAGGAAAGUGGAAUUCCAUGUGUAGCGGUGAAAUGCGCAGAGAUAUGGAGGAACACCAGUGGCGAAGGCGACUUUCUGGUCUGUAACUGACGCUGAUGUGCGAAAGCGUGGGGAUCAAACAGGAUUAGAUACCCUGGUAGUCCACGCCGUAAACGAUGAGUGCUAAGUGUUAGGGGGUUUCCGCCCUUAGUGCUGCAGCUAACGCAUUAAGCACUCCGCCUGGGGAGUACGACCGCAAGGUUGAAACUCAAAGGAAUUGACGGGGACCCGCACAAGCGGUGGAGCAUGUGGUUUAAUUCGAAGCAACGCGAAGAACCUUACCAAAUCUUGACAUCCUUUGACAACUCUAGAGAUAGAGCCUUCCCUUCGGGGACAAAGUGACAGGUGGUGCAUGGUUGUCGUCAGCUCGUGUCGUGAGAUGUUGGGUUAAGUCCCGCAACGAGCGCAACCCUUAAGCUUAGUUGCCAUCAUUAAGUUGGGCACUCUAAGUUGACUGCCGGUGACAAACCGGAGGAAGGUGGGGAUGACGUCAAAUCAUCAUGCCCCUUAUGAUUUGGGCUACACACGUGCUACAAUGGACAAUACAAAGGGCAGCGAAACCGCGAGGUCAAGCAAAUCCCAUAAAGUUGUUCUCAGUUCGGAUUGUAGUCUGCAACUCGACUACAUGAAGCUGGAAUCGCUAGUAAUCGUAGAUCAGCAUGCUACGGUGAAUACGUUCCCGGGUCUUGUACACACCGCCCGUCACACCACGAGAGUUUGUAACACCCGAAGCCGGUGGAGUAACCUUUUAGGAGCUAGCCGUCGAAGGUGGGACAAAUGAUUGGGGUGAAGUCGUAACAAGGUAGCCGUAUCGGAAGGUGCGGCUGGAUCACCUCCUUUCU
rnacentral:rRNA from 1 species